UACGGAGGGUGCGAGCGUUGUCCGGAAUCAUUGGGCGUAAAGGGCGCGUAGGUGGCUUCUUAAGCGUGCGGUGAAAGCCUGGGGCUCAACCCCGGGUCGGCCGUGCGAACUGGGGGGCUGGAGCACAGUAGAGGCGGGUGGAAUUCCGGGUGUAGCGGUGGAAUGCGUAGAGAUCCGGAAGAACACCGGUGGCGAAGGCGGCCCGCUGGGCUGUUGCUGACGCUGAGGCGCGACAGCGUGGGGAGCAAACAGG
rnacentral:rRNA from 1 species